CCCUUUGAUACUCUGGGCGGCACGCGCGCUACACUGGUUUAUAUAACGUGUAAUUUGGACGAUAGUCUGUAUAAAUCACUAAUAUAAAACCGUGAAUGGGAUAGUUUAUUGCAACUUACAAACUUUAACUAGGAAUCCCUUGUAGAAGUAGUGAAUUAUACUGCUUCGAAUACGUCCCUGCCGAUUGUACACACCGCGCGUCGUUUCUUCCGACUGGUACUCAUUGUGAAUUGCGAGGAGAUUCUGUCAAAUCGUUGUAAAUGCUGGGUAUUGGAGGAAGAAAAAGUCGUAACA
rnacentral:rRNA from 1 species